GACGAACGCUGGCGGCGUGCUUAACACAUGCAAGUCGAACGGAAAGGCCCUGCUUUUGUGGGGUGCUCGGUGGCGAACGGGUGAGUAACACGUGAGUAACCUGCCCUUGACUUUGGGAUAACUUCAGGAAACUGGGGCUAAUACCGGAUAGGAGCUCCUGCUGCAUGGUGGGGGUUGGAAAGUUUCGGCGGUUGGGGAUGGACUCGCGGCUUAUCAGCUUGUUGGUGGGGUAGUGGCUUACCAAGGCUUUGACGGGUAGCCGGCCUGAGAGGGUGACCGGCCACAUUGGGACUGCGAUACGGCCCAGACUCCUACGGGAGGCAGCAGUGGGGAAUAUUGCACAAUGGGCGGAAGCCUGAUGCAGCAACGCCGCGUGCGGGAUGACGGCCUUCGGGUUGUAAACCGCUUUCGCCUGUGACGAAGCGUGAGUGACGGUAAUGGGUAAAGAAGCACCGGCUAACUACGUG
rnacentral:rRNA from 1 species